rnacentral:rRNA from 1 species
UACGAAGGGGGCUAGCGUUGUUCGGAAUUACUGGGCGUAAAGCGCGUGUAGGCGGCCCUGUAAGUCGGGUGUGAAAUCCCACGGCUCAACCGUGGAAGUGCAUUCGAAACUACAGGGCUAGAGUUCUGGAGAGGAAGGUGGAAUGCUUGGUGUAGAGGUGAAAUUCGUAGAUAUCAAGCGGAACACCGGUGGCGAAGGCGGCCUUCUGGACAGUAACUGACGCUGAGACGCGAAAGCGUGGGGAGCAAACAGG